AAGCGCUUGCAACCAGACUUGCACGCGGUUAAUCAUCCGGUGUUCUCACCGGUGCACUUGACCGCGUUCAGGCCAGCAUCGGUUCGGGUGGCAGGAUAAAGGCCUUGGGAAUGUAGCUUCUUUCGGGG
rnacentral:rRNA from 1 species